CCUACGGGAGGCAGCAGUUGGGAAUCUUGGACAAUGGGCGAAAGCCUGAUCCAGCAACGCCGCGUGAGGGAUGACGGCCUUCGGGUUGUAAACCUCUUUCAGUAGGGACGAAGCGCAAGUGACGGUACCUACAGAAGAGGCACCGGCCAACUACGUGCCAGCAGCCGCGGUAAU
rnacentral:rRNA from 1 species